AGCUAGUCCAAGUGCAGUGGUGUUUACAACUAAUUGAUCACAACCAGUUACGAUUCCAUUGUUCCUUCUCCACUUCCACUUCACUGCUUCACUUGACUAGUAAAAU
rnacentral:Y_RNA from 1 species